ACAUUCCGUGGUGUCCUGUCCACUACCGGUGGCCCUUCAAAAUUCAGAGGACCAAAUGUCGUCCACGCUUGGUCGUACUUAUAACCACAUCAGGUCUCAAAGGGGAACAACCUCUGGUUGAUGGAACAAUGUAGGCAAGGAAAAUCGGCAAAAUAGACACGGGGGUCCUAGUCCCAAACUCAUUAGCUGUCGGUGGACUACUCGAGAUGCUCCCGCAACGAGAGUGGGUCAUCGCAUGCUGGUCAGAGAAUGGACUGGGAAUGGUUCCUUCGAGGGCCUUCCCUGCGCAUCGAAUAGCCAACUCAGAACUGGUAUGGACAAGGGGAAUCCAACUGUUUAAUUAAAACAAAGAAUUGCGAUGGUCCCAAUGGAUGUUUACGUAUUAUGAUUUUUGCCUAGUGCUCUGAAUGUCAAAGUGAAGAAAUUCAACCAAGAGCGGGUAACUAACAGGAGUAACUAUGACUCUCUUAAGGUAGCCAAAUGCCUCGCCAUCUAAUUAGUGAUGCGCAUGAAUGGAUUAAUGAGAUUCCCACUAUCCCUGUCUACUAUCCAGCGAAAUCACAGCCAAGGGAACGGGCUUGGCAGAAUCAGCGGGAAAAGAAGACCCUCUUGAGCUUGACUCUACUCAGACUUUGUGAAAUGACUUGAGAGGUGUAGUAUAAGUGGGAGCCAAAAGGGAAAAGUGAAAUACCACUACUUUUAACAUUAUUUUACUUAUUCCGUGAAUCGAAAGUGAGGCACUGCCCAUAUUUUUGGACCCAAGGCUCGCUCUGCGGGUCGAUCCAGGUAGAAGACAUUGUCAGGUGGGGAGUUUGGCUGGGGCGGCAUAUCUAUUAAAAGAUAACGAAGGUGUCCUAAGAUGAUCUCAACGAGAACAGAAAUAUUGUGUAGAAUAGAAAGGUAAAAGAUCUUUUGAUUCUGAUUUCCAGUACGAAUACAAACCAUGAAAGUAUGGCCUAACGAUCCUUUAGACCUUUGGAAUUUGAAGCUAGAAGUGUCAGAAAAGUGAUACCACAGGGAUAACUGGACUGUUGCAACCAAGCGUUCACAUGAUCGUUACUUUUUCAUCCUUCGAUGUCGGCUCUUCCUAUCAUUGUGAAGCAGAAUUCACCAAGUGUUGAACUGUACACCCACCAAUAGGAAAUGUGAGUUGGGUUUAGACCGUUGUGAGACAGGUUAGGUUUACCCUACUUAUGACAGUGUUGCAGUAGUAAUUCAACCUAGUACGAGAAGAAAUGUUGAUUCACAUAAUUUUUCAUCACGCUUGGUUGAAAAGCCAGUGGCGCAAAGCUACCGUGUACUGGAUUAUGACUGAACGCCUUUAAGUUAGAAUCCAGGCUAGAAGAUACUCUUGCGCCCGCCUGUCCGCUUGACAAACCGUAGUAGAGGCCUCGGCCCCCAAGGGCACGUGUCGUUUACUAAGCCACUGCGGUGGAAGAGUCGCGGUGGCCGCCUUGAAGUAUAAUUUCCAUCGAGCAGUGGGUAGAAUUCUUUACAGAUGACUUAAAUAUGCGAUGGGGUAUUUUAAGUCGAAGAGUGGUCUUGAUGCCACGAUCCACUGAGAUUCAUCCCUUUGUCACUCUGGUUCGUCCCUCCCCAUCCA
rnacentral:rRNA from 1 species